rnacentral:lncRNA from 1 species
AAAAAUUGUAUGUGCAAUGUACACCAGCUGAUGUUACAGUGGAAUCAUUUUUCCUUGGUUAAUUUCUCAGGAUCUCCUGUUGGAUAAGUUUGAUAGAUCAGAACAGCCACAUGCCAAACAAAUCAAGCUGGAGUACUGCAUUUAAUAAGACCAGUUUAAGAAAACAAACCCCAAACCUGAGUUUUUUUUCUACGUCCGCAAACCAAGUAGGAACAGCUGUGAUCUGACUUUGAAGGCGGGACUGGGUAACCACUUUGACUUUGUUACUGUCUUGUAUAUUCUCCAUGAGCUGUUAAAUCAAUACCAGCAGAAUUCCAGUCUGCUUAGGACUAAGUAUUUCUGUGGCCUGUUUUGUUAGUUAUGAGAACUUUUUUUUUCCACUCUGGCUACAGUGGCUCACAAUGGACAUAUUUUUCUUUCUCACUUAGAUUGCGGGACUCUUCCCCACUGCUGUACUAUGCAAGCAUUUCAACUUUGAGCAUUAGCACUACGUUGGACUCAUUCUGUCAGCAUCAACCAUUUCACCCCAGGAAACAACAGGAAGGAGUUUUCCAUUCAGUGUGA